rnacentral:rRNA from 1 species
UACGUAGGGGGCAAGCGUUAUCCGGAAUCACUGGGCGUAAAGGGCGCGUAGGCGGCUCAUGAAGGCUGUGGUGAAAGUCCGGGGCUCAACCUCGGAUCGGCCGUGGCGACUCGUGGGCUGGAGCACUGUAGAGGCGGGUGGAAUUCCGGGUGUAGCGGUGGAAUGCGUAGAGAUCCGGAAGAACACCAGUGGCGAAGGCGGCCCGCUGGGCAGUGGCUGACGCUGAGGCGCGACAGCGUGGGGAGCAAACAGG